rnacentral:rRNA from 1 species
UACGGAGGGAGCUAGCGUUGUUCGGAAUUACUGGGCGUAAAGCGCACGUAGGCGGCUUUGUAAGUUAGAGGUGAAAGCCCGGGGCUCAACCCCGGAAUUGCCUUUAAGACUGCAUCGCUUGAAUCCAGGAGAGGUGAGUGGAAUUCCGAGUGUAGAGGUGAAAUUCGUAGAUAUUCGGAAGAACACCAGUGGCGAAGGCGGCUCACUGGACUGGUAUUGACGCUGAGGCGCGAAAGCUAGGGUAGCAAACGGG